rnacentral:rRNA from 1 species
UACGGGGGGGGCAAGCGUUGUUCGGAAUUACUGGGCGUAAAGGGCGCGUAGGCGGUUUGCUAAGUUGAAUGUGAAAACUCUGGGCUUAACCCAGAGCCUGCAUUCAAUACUGGCAGGCUAGAGUUCUGGAGGGGAUAGCGGAAUUCCUGGUGUAGCGGUGAAAUGCGUAGAUAUCAGGAGGAACACCGGUGGCGAAGGCGGCUAUCGUGGACAGAGUCUGACGCUGAGGCGACGAAAGCUAGGGGAGCAAACAGG